GAUGAACGCUGGCGGCGUGCUUAAUACAUGCAAGUCGAACGGAAAGGCCCUGCUCUUGCGGGGUUCUCGUGUGGCGAACGGGUGAGUAACACGCGAGUAACCUGCCCUUGACUUUGGGAUAACUUCAGGAAACUGGGGCGAAUAUCGGAGAGGAGCUCUUGCUGCAUGGGGGGGGUUGGAAAGUUUCGGCGGUUGGGGAUGGUCUCGCAGCUUAUCAGCUUGUUGGUGGGGUAGUGGCUUACCAAGGUUUCGACGGGUAGCCGGCCUGGGAGGGUGACCGGCCACAAUGGGACUGAGAGACGGCCCAGACUGCUACGGGAGGCAGCAGUGGAGAGUAUUACGCAGUGGGCGGGAGCGUGAUACAGCAGCGCCGCGUGCGGGAUGACGGCCUUCGGGGUGUAAACCGAUUUGGCCUUUGCCGAAGCGUGAGUGACGGUAAUGGGUAAGAAAGCACCGGCUAACUACGUG
rnacentral:rRNA from 1 species